rnacentral:rRNA from 1 species
GACGAACGCUGGCGGCGUGCUUAACACAUGCAAGUCGAACGGUGAAAGGGAGCUUGCUCCCUGGAUCAGUGGCGAACGGGUGAGUAACACGUGGGCAACCUGCCCCAGACUUCGGGAUAACGCUUCGAAAGAGGUGCUAAUACCGGAUACGAACUCCUUGGGCACCCUUGGAGUUGGAAAGUUUUUCGGUCUGGGAUGGGCCCGCGGCCUAUCAGCUUGUUGGUGAGGUAACGGCUCACCAAGGCGACGACGGGUAGCCGGCCUGAGAGGGCGACCGGCCACACUGGGACUGAGACACGGCCCAGACUCCUACGGGAGGCAGCAGUGGGGAAUAUUGCGCAAUGGGCGAAAGCCUGACGCAGCAACGCCGCGUGAGGGAUGAUGGCCUUCGGGUUGUAAACCUCUUUCAGCAGGGAAGAAGCGAAAGUGACGGUACCUGCAGAAGAAGCACCGGCUAACUACGUGCCAGCCGCCGCCGUAA